GAGGAUGCGAGCGUUAUCCGGAUUUAUUGGGUUUAAAGGGUGCGUAGGCGGGCUGUCAAGUCAGCGGUAAAAUGGAGAGGCUCAACCUCUUCAGGCCGUUGAAACUGGCGGUCUUGAGUGAAUGAGAAGUAUGCGGAAUGAGUGGUGUAGCGGUGAAAUGCAUAGAUAUCACGCAGAACUCCGAUUGCGAAGGCAGCAUACCGGCAUUCAACUGACGCUGAAGCACGAAAGCGUGGGGAUCAAA
rnacentral:rRNA from 1 species